UUGAUUCGAUUUUGUAUAACUCAGACGCUACUGAUCAAACAAGAGUUUAGGGUUCUCUGGCGGGCGCUAUCCAGCGAGAGCCGGCGGUGCGAAGCACCGACCCGCCAAAGCAACAGAUUUGAUAAACAGAGGGUGGGAGUUGGAGCCCCCGGUAGGGGCUCCUCAACUCGGUAAUGAUCCUUCCGCAGGUUCACCUACGGAAA
rnacentral:misc_RNA from 1 species